UAUUGACUCCCAAAUGUACAUAAAGAUCGUAUCGGCUGAACCUAGGUAUAUUUACUCACAUACUAAUCCUUUUGCCUCACGAUACUAGUCAAGCUCAAGGCAAGAUGUGUGCCACCCUUGUGAUAACUCGACCAUUCACACGAUCAAAUAGUGAAUUCAAUUCAUGACUAACCUUUAGUCAUCGUAAUUAACUCUUUAAUCAUAUUAGCAUGGCCAUGCACUUCCCAAUUCAACAAUCUCGAGGGGCUAGAGAUAUCUUUCUUGUUAUUUAGGAG
rnacentral:lncRNA from 1 species